rnacentral:tRNA from 1 species
GGGGAUAUAGCUCAGCUGGGAGAGCGCUUCGUUCGCAUCGAAGAGGUCAGGGGUUCGAGUCCCCUUAUCUCCA